rnacentral:rRNA from 1 species
UACGUAGGGGGCGAGCGUUAUCCGGAAUUACUGGGCGUAAAGCGCACGCAGGCGGUUCGCCAAGUUUGGAGUGACAGUUGUCGGCUCAACCGACAAAGGACUUCAAAAACUGGUGAACUUGAGGACGAGAGAGGAACAUGGAACUCCAGGUGUAGUAGUGAAAUGCGUAGAUAUCUGGAAGAACACCAAUGGCGAAGGCAGCCCCCUGGGUCAAAACUGACGCUCAUGCACGAAAGCGUGGGGAGCAAACAGG